ensembl:lncRNA
GUCUAGAACUAGCUUUAGAUGUUUAGUCUAGAACUAGCUUUAGAUGUUUAGUCUGUGUAUAGAAAUAGCUUUAGAUGUUUAGUCUGUAACAAGCUUUAGAUGUUUAGUCUGUGUCUAGAACUAGCUUUAGAUGUUUAGUCUGUGUCUAGAACUAGCUUUAGAUGUUUAGUCUGUGUCUAGAACAAGCUUUAGAUGUUUAGUCUGUGUCUAGAACUAGCUUUAGAUGUUUAGUUCAGAACUAGCUUUAGAUGUUUAGUCUGUGUCUGGAACUAGCUUUAGAUGUUUAGUCUGUGUCUAGAACUAGCUUUAGAUUUUUAGUCUGUGUCUAUAACUAGCUUUAAAUGUUGAGUCUGUGUCUCAAACUAGCUUUAGAUGUUUAGACUUUGAACUAGCUUUAGGUGUUUAGUCUGUGUCUAGAACUAGCUUUAGAUGUUUAGUCUAGAACUAGCUUUAGAUGUUUAGUCUAGAACUAGCUUUAGAUGUUUAGUCUGUGUCUAGAACAAGCUUUAGAUGUUUAGUCUGUGUCUAGAACUAGCUUUAGAUGUUUAGUCUGUGUCUAGAACAAGCUUUAGAUGUUUAGUCUGUGUCUAGAACAAGCUUUAGAUGUUUAGUCUGUGUCUAGAACUAGCUUUAGAUGUUUAGUUCAGAACUAGCUUUAGAUGUUUAGUCUGUGUCUAGAACUAGCUUUAGAUGUUUAGUCUAGAACUAGCUUUAGAUGUUUAGUCUGUGUCUAGAACUAGCUUUAGAUGUUUAGUUCAGAACUAGCUUUAGAUGUUUAGUCUGUGUCUAGAACUAGCUUUAGAUGUUUAGUCUAGAACUAACUUUAGAUGUUUAGUCUAGAACUAGCUUUAGAUGUUUAGUCUGUGUCUAGAACUAGCUUUAGAUUUUUAGUCUGUGUCUAGAACUAGCUUUAGAUGUUUAGUCUAGAACUAGCUUUAGAUGUUUAGUCUGUGUCUAGAACUAGCUUUAGAUGUUUAGUCUGUAACUAGCUUUAGAUGUUUAGUCUGUGUAUAGAACUAGCUGUAGAUGUUUAUUCUGUGUAUAGAGCUAGCUGUAGAUGCUUAGACUGUACCUAUAUUUAUUCUCUGUAUGGAGUUGGCGCUGAACUGUCUCUGGGUCUAGGACAUGUUCUCUGUCAGAAUCUGUCUCUAGAAGCAAGAGGCAUCCCAAAAUGCAAUGUAAUAAAAUGUAAUGCUUCAACUACAGUGAGCAUGUUGUAUGCAGAGCCUAUAUUCCUCCUGAAGCUGACAAGUCCAUAAUUUCAGAUUUAUAUUCCGAAGCACCACAUCAAUUUGUUUAGAGAUAUAUACAAGAUAGUGAUGGUUUCACCUCCUUUCAGAUUUUGGUGUCAGCAAGGUGUCAGAUCGAGUCUUCAGUAAAAAGGAUUAUCAAUCUGCUGAUUUCUGCUUUCCACUCGUCUUGGCCUGUGAGGUUAUUAUGCAUUCCUGCACUUGGUGCAAAAACACAGCCGCUCAGGUGUUACUUUAAUCUAAACCUAUCAGAGUCUUUCCAUACAAGCACAGUUGCUCAUUUGACCUUGCCUGUCUUCUCCUUUCUGUUUUGCAGGGUGAAACUACGCAUGAAGCAUGGAGUCUCACAUUAACCUUCAGUACAACAUGACGUUCAACAAGCGGCACAUUCAAGUCUCACACACACACACACACACACAUACACACACAGUCACACACUUUCAGUCCGUACAGGGCCAUUUGGUGUUGCUGAUACCUGUGUAGCUUCUAUUGCUUAAAGUCAAAAAGUAGCAUUUAACAUUUGAUAUGUAGUAAAACAAAUUGGAUUUUGCGCAUUGACAAAGAGAGCAAAUGCUGUUUGCCUUGUUCCCAGUUAUAGAUUGAUCAAACCCUGCAUCACUCACUUUUUUCUGUCCGCUUUUAUUUCUGAUAACGGUUUUGAAUUCUCGUUUUAUAAUCUGACUGUUUUUCCGAUGUUUUUUUUUUUUUUUUUAUACAGCAUGAAUAGAAAUAACCUCAGACGUUCUAGUAGCGUAAACCUCGUUUCGACAGCAUCAGUCGCAAAGACUCGAGAAUCACUGAGCAUGGUUUGGAAUUAUAUACAGUCGGCUAAUCUGCUUGAAGAUCUGCGUGAUGGCCAUUGGCUCUGACAAGCUUCCAGCUCCACCACUGACACCAGCAUGCAGAGCUUUGCCUCAUGUUCCAACUCACACCUAAUGGAAUGUGAAGAGCUUAAGAGCAGAACCGGCAAGGAAGCUACCGUCAGUGUGUCCAGCGUAGUCAGCCUCUCUUUCUUUCCCUCGUCUUCUCCACCAGCGCACCAGCUCGGACUAAUUAAGGCCUGCCCAUGAACCAACAUGUACCUGUCAGCAUGUAGCUGUUUCUACAAACUCAAUGACUUUGGGGAGAAAUUAGUUUGAAUUCCAGCUAAGCUUGAACAAAUUGCAAAGUGGUUCACGAGACACACCCAGGUUUCUCUUUGACCUGACAGUAUUAUGUCGAGAAACGUUUUUAAUGAUUACACAGAGAACUGUCAUACUGUGGGAGGGAAUCUAUAAUGAAUCUCGAAUGCUGUUUUCAUAUGGUUCUUGAUACUUGGAACACGUUCAGUGCCAAAUAAAUUGAUCGAGUGUUUUGGGAUUAAUUGUGCCAGUCAGUUAUUAUGAACAUGCUUUAAAUAAUAAAAUGAUUUGUCAUUAAAAUCUCGUCUGCUAUUGUGAUCAACUUAUAACUAUGUAGUCUAACAUUCUGACAUAUGCUCAAAUCCACUGUAUUCUCUUUAACGGUUCAGUAGAGGCACGAGGCAGCACGGUUUGUAUCCCAGCUCUCAAAACAAUUAUGUCUCUUUAAAUACCCUUUCUAUCGCCAGCGGCCAUCCCUGUGGCUCGGACGAUCGCUUAAAGUUUAAUGACGCCAGCUUCAGGGAAGCCUUUAUUUCCCUUCCACUUGUGUUUGUCCCAUGAUUUGCUAAAAUUUAACAUCCAGCAAGUGCACUGGGAUUAAUAAAAAGGAAACAGCAGAUUUUAACCGCUUCAGUAAGUCAAAGUCUAGUUCUGAACAUUUAAUUCAGGUCUAGACCAGGUUUUAGCCAGGUCUUUCCAGCUAAAUUUGAAUAUUUUCUUUGGGUCUAGAUAUGUUUUUGUAUAUUUGUCUGGUAACUAGAACUGGAUUUUGACUUUUACUUUGGGUCUAGAUAUUACAACUUUUUAUGCUUUUUAACCAUUUAUAGCUACAUUUAAUAUUGUGGAACAUCCAUGAAGCAAGUCAUCACAUUAUACAGUAGUGGUUAUAAACAGCACCAGCUUCUUUAUUUUUUUCUCUCUCAUGAAGUUAAUUACAAAAAACAACAAAGAUUGUCAUGUUACAGAGAAACCAGAAAGUUAUAUGUCC